AUAAUCUGGCACCUUCGGUGUCCGAGUUGUAAUCUCUAGAAGUGUUUUCCGCGUUGGACCGCAACAAGUCUGUUGGAAUACAGCGGCAUAGUGGUGAGACCCCCGUAUAUGGUGCGGACGCCCAACGCUUUGUGAUACACUUUCGAAGAGUCGAGUUGUUUGGGAAUGCAGCUCAAAUUGGGUGGUAAAUUCCAUCUAAAGCUAAAUAUUGGCGAGAGACCGAUAGCGAACAAGUACCGUGAGGGAAAGAUGAAAAGCACUUUGGAAAGAGAGUUAACAGUACGUGAAAUUGUUGGAAGGGAAACGCUUGAAGUCAGACUUGCUUGCCGAGCAAUCGGUUUGCAGGCCAGCAUCAGUUUUCCGGGGUGGAUAAUGGUAGAGAGAAGGUAGCAGUUUCGGCUGUGUUAUAGCUCUCUGCUGGAUACACCUUGGGGGACUGAGGAACGCAGUGUGCCUUACGGCGGAUUUCUCGAGAUCUUCACACUUAGGAUGCUGGUGGAAUGGCUUUAAACGACCCGUCUUGAAACACG
rnacentral:rRNA from 1 species